GGUGGAUCAUGAGGGAUUGCUAGCACCGUCCAGAUGGUCUAUGACUCAUCCGGUUCGUGAGAUGAAGAUCGAUUGGGUCGCCGAUUCCGUGUGGAUACGUGUAGAGGCCGGGCAUGUGCGCGGCUAAUCAGAAUCUCUGUUCGUCAUAUUCAGUUUCAACCAUACAGUAUAUUGGAUUUUUUGGGUUUUGUGAUUUAAAACUUAUUAAAAUCACUUGAGGAGCCCAAUAAUUAUUAAUGGGCCUCUUGGGAGCCCAACUAAAAUUUUCAUGUGAGAUGUUUAGUCCCACAUUGGAAACCAAAAGGGUCUUUGUUACUUUUAUAUAUUGUUUUAUUCUCAAUCUAGUUUCUUAGAAGAAAAUGAGAGUUAUGCUCUCGUUUAUAUACAAGCACGAGCCGAGCGGGGCCGGACGGGUCUGCGGCGCGCACGGUCCAUACGCCCGGUUUAUUUUAUUUUGUCGGUUUUAUCUUUAUUUUAAUACAUAUCUUUUUACUAAUCCUAAUCCUUAUCUUUAUCUGUAUAAUCUUAUGCUUAUCUUGUUAUACACGGAUGAAGCAAGAUUCUCGCCUAGGCAUACCUAAAGCCUCUCGUUUUUUUCUACUUUCUGGAUUUUCGCCGAGCUUUCUUUUGCUGAAUCUGAAGCUAGUUGGGUUCGUCUUGCGCCACCUUAGAAGCGUGCCGACGAGGUGGAACGUGGUCGUUGUAUCGCUAGGAGUAAUUGCCGGAAAGCUUCGCACGUGGAGGGCCAAUUUCGCUUCUAGGACAGUGCUCUGCACGCCUCGAUCCACAGGCCUUAUCUAAACCUUUUCUUUACCGUAUUUGUUAUUUAAUUUCAUUUCGGGAUUUUCCUAAACCUGUAAUUAAAUUUUCAAAUUGGUUUUUAAAGAAUAUUGUAAUAAAAGAUCAGAAUGUUUUUCCAACACAGUAGAUCAAGAGAUCUUAACUGGUCCACGGUAAGAUCUCUAAACAUAAAGAGUUUUGUUUAGAUUAAAUUUUUACAUAGUAACAUGAGAAUGAUCCGCCGGCAACGGUUUGAUUUAUUAGUUUUCGGUUUUCAUAUGUGAUAUGUAUUUGGCUUCCGAAAUGAAUUAAAAGUACAAAAUUAUUUUCCGCUACAUUUUUCUGAUGUGCCGGUUAAUUUCUAACAGUAAGUGUUAGAUGUAUGCCCUAGAAGCCAACCAGGCAGACACAUGUAUUCUUUCUAAGACAUAAUUUUGUAUUUGAUUUUAAAAUAUUAUGAAUAACUUUGGGUUUUUAUUUCCAUUCAUGUUGUGUAUGUGUCCAUNUUAAAACAUGAGGGAUCCUAAUUGCGUGGUUUUUGAGAUUGGAUCUCGAGAGUUUUCAAAAAUCAAAUUUGUUUGAUUUUUUUUUCCGCUGCGUUUUUACCGUACGCAAUUUUCUAACAGUAAGUUCUUUGUGGAACUGUC
rnacentral:lncRNA from 1 species